AGUACUUAUUUGAGGUUACCAUCCAGCUCUGGCAAUGGGUACGUUUUCUUUUAAAGGAUAAGGUAAAAUAUCUUUUUAAAUAGGAUGCUUUGUAUCUAACCAGUGAGGGGACUUAAAGGGAGAUAGAUUCUGAUCAAAUAUAGGCAGUACUGGAAUUCCCACUAACAGAAUUAGCAGCAUCUUGGGAGUGCUAGAACACAGGCUCGAUCCCUGGCCCGGCACUGUAGGUUAAGGAUUUGGCAUUGCUGCAGCUGCAGCUUAGGUUGCAACUGCAGCUCAAAUCUGAUCCCUGGUCCCUGGGAACUCUAUAUGCCACAGGAUGGACAUAAAAGAAAAAAAUAUAUAGGCAGUGUUUACAUUAAAAUCAGGGAAAACCUGAGCCAAGUUAUGAAAAAGGCCUGGAAAGGUGAAGUUUGAAAAUUAAUAAACCACAAAGCUGGGUGCAGGCCAGGAGGGGUUGGGUACCAAACUAAAGACUACAUAAAUAAGAUAUGCAGACGUAGCAGGCUGUCUCCUAAGGUCAGAAUGGAGUCUGAGCUGUGGACCCCUAGUGGACAGGAGGUCAGGCAGGCUACCCAAGAACAUCAGGUUGGCCGGCCCCACCAUGGGGAGCAGCAGGUUCUUAUUUUACAUUCAUAAGUCCCUGACAAAUUGGCCAAGAAUUCCUAUCCAGCUAUUGGUGAGACAGACAGUCCAAAACAACCAUCAGUGUGUAAGUCAGAUAAAACAAUAGCAACAGGCCAAGAGGCUCAGCAUGAGUCCAGGCCCACUGCUUUGCAGCAAGUAUCACUUUACACUGAGAAUGCAUUCAGUAACACUUAAGAAGGUUCUCGGAGCUUUCUUCACUCUGUUGGAGAUGGUUGUGAGACGCACAGAGCCUGAGAGACUUCCUCCAACCUAGACUAAGUUCACAUCACCAUCCAUACGCUUUACACGCACCAGUGUUUGAUACGCAUCAUGUUUAUUCUUUUACAAUAAAAGUUCCUCAACAGCUUGGCUAUAUGCUUUUUAGAAAAGUCUUUUUGAAAAACAAUCUUACAUUGUUGCAUUUGCCUCUUAGUACUCUUACUGAAUGAAUAUGCAUCUCUUUUGUGGCCUUUCCACUAAAAAUUUUCCCCAAGACAGAAAUGUUUUUUGGUGGCUCCAAACAAUUUCUGUUACUGAGUCAUAGACACUAUCAGAGCAGUGUUAAAAUUCAUCAUCUUUUUCUUUCCAUAUGAUUAAUGUUUUAAAAACAUGCUAGUAAAACGUAAAACUUAACAUAUCUGAACCCAAAAAAAAAAAAAAAAAAGCGCUUAAAGUGCUGAUUUUUAAAUCCUGGAAAUAAGAUUAGUACAAUUUAGAGGUCGUUUUUUUCCACAUCUGCAGAGUACUUCAACUGGUCAUCGUUUCUUGGGUGGAUUACAUCUCGUUUCAUCUGCUGUUGACUCAGAAGGCUGAGGCAAGAGGUUCCCAAUUUCUUUUUUAACCACAAUGAACUACUUUUCUUAAGUUCCAAGCACUCCCACCUACACAGACACUAAGUUCUGGAAGGUUCUGCCAACCAAUACUUAAUUUGUGAAGUAUUAAUUAAUUCCUACAUAAUAUCUACUGACUGCCAAUCAGAGCUCAUAGACUGAAAUAUUUAUGGCCCAAAGACAAGGAACUUGACAGUCUGAGUAAGCCCUAAAGUAUUAUCUCAUGCAAGCUACUGGAUUAACUUUAGACCUUUGGCAAUAUAAAAUACAACCUGAUGAAGUACAUACUUGAAGCUGUGUCCCCAGCAUCUUUUCUGCCACAAAUAGGACCAAGUGACUGGUGAGGUCACCAGUUCUGGAGAGGCUGACUCCAUCCCAGUUCUAGGGGUAGAAAAAUAUCACCAAGGGUAUGCCAAUUAAGACAUCCCACCUCCCUGGCCAUUGGGAGGGUGUAAUGUGCUGGAAACUCACCCAAUUAGAGUUUCAAGAAUCUUGCUGAAAAUCUUAAGAUUCCUCUUUCCCCUCUUCCUCCUUGGCAUGUUCAGAGAAUCCUAUAGCCCAGCAGCUGCUGGGAACCAUCUUAGGACUGUACAUAGGGUGAAUCUAAAGAGCAGCCAGCUCCACUGUGGAAAACAGAGCAGAGACAAAGAGCUGAAUCAAAUCUCUCCUGCAGUUCACCCACUAAGGACUUGCCAGUGACACUGCUGAAGCUGCCGGAACUGGACUUUCUGUUGCUUACCACCCAAGUCCUCCUAACAUAAAUCCUGAAAAACUCUAGGAUUAUAUUUCCUAAUGCCCUGGAAUUCUAAGACCCCAGGCAUUGGGGACCACUGCUCUGGUGAUAAACAGAUUUAGAUGGGAGUAUCAUAAUGUGUAAAAUAAUCGAUAAGUGUGUAUUUCCAGGAUGGCUGGAUAUUUUUCAGAGUUUCUGUAACCCCAGGUCAGGGGCAUCAGCAUGAAAAUUACAAAAGAUAAUAACAUCAGGAAACUGCCUCAUCAAAUUAUAAGGUGGCCACGCUGACUGACACUACAAGGGUGAAGUGACAUGAGGAGAAGAGCUGGCUUCAGGUGACUCACCAAAGGCAAAGGCUUUCAGCUGGAUCUGCACCAAAAGGCACCACUUACCCAUUUUGUGAAUAUCCUUCAUUUGCAGGGGAAAAAAGGAGAAUUCACUAUCAUAGAAGACUUGCUUUAAAAAGGGCAUAAGAGUGGUAAACUCUACAAGGAAGAUAAGAUGAUCAAAGGAACAAACAAAAUGGUGUUAAGUGUUCCUGUAAACUAGGUGUUGGUAAGGCUCAGAUUUUGGUUUUAUGCUCCAAAUUGAGAGACAGACUGUUGACCUAGUAUAAGAAAAUAAGUAUCAGAGUUCCCGUCAUGGCUCAGUGGUUAACAAAUCGACUAGGAACCAUGAGGUUGCGGGUUCAAUCCCUGGCCUUCCUCAGUGGGUUAGGGAUCCGGAGUUGCCGUGAGCUGUGGUGUAGGCUGCAGACGCGGCAUGGAUCCCACGUUGCUGUGGCUGUGGUUUAGGCCAGCAGCAACAGCUCCAAUUGGACCCCUAGCCUGGGAACCUCCAGAGGACACGGUUGCGGCCCUAGAAAUGGCAAGAUGACAAAAAAAAAAAAGAAAAAAGAAAAAAGAAAAUAAGUAUCAAUAAGAAAAUACCGGUAUUGAUAGCAUGCCCAUUGAAGGCCUCUAUGUAACUCAAGACAUAACCUAGUUAUUUGCUGAUUAAAGGGGAACCACUGAAAAGAAUGGAGUUAAAUGGGUAGGGCCAAAAUUGGAACAAAACCCUAAUAUGUGUUUCAGCACAAAGUAGUCCUCGUUUUCGCCACAUGUGAAGGAGAGGGACAGGGACAGGGAAGAGGAGGAAGUGGCAUCUAUGCAUAUGCAGAGGUGAAAAGAUGAUCCUUUUACCGGUCAGAAGUCCUUCCUGAUAUGCUGCUUUUAAUGUGGAAGACAAGGUCUUAGCAACCAAGCCUGAGAAGAGAUAGCUGCAGCUGCAGCUCAGAUGCAAUCUCUGGCCCAGAAGCUUCCAUAUGCCACAGGUGUGGCCAGGAAGAAAGAAAGAAAGAAGUAUGAGCCAGUAACAAAACAGAAAAAUGAGAGAAGUAAAAACAGAUAUGAGAAGACAGAAGAAAGGACAAGUUUGCAGGUCGCGACCUACAAAGAAAGCUAUCCAAGGAUAGGUUCAGAGUAGGCAAAUGUAAAUUUCAAGAACAAACCUAUGGAACAUUUGAAUCUGAUGCAAACUUCCUUGGACUCCCUCAGGUUCAAUGCCUUGUGUGAGCUGUGUUGGACGGAAAUCAUGGAGAGGAGCUCAUUUCCAACUAUGAGAGGAGAAAAGAUCAUAGGCAUGAGCAGAGAGACUAUCCUCAACCAAAAUCAAUCAUGAAAAUGAAGCCUCUAGAAAUUCUCAUUGGAAGUCCCACAGGGAAUAAGACAAAGGCGCAAGCCAAUGUUAUUAGAAUCUCAAACGUCAGGGUGACCUCCGUUGAUAAAUGACUCCUCAAACCAUUAUGACAAAGCCCUCAGCAACAUGGCCAAGUAGAGACUCCCAGGAGAAACGUGGAUGAUACCUCAAGUGACACAAGCGUGAAGACCUGCACAAUUGUGUUAAAUCCACUGUCAUAAAAUGAGUAUCACCACCAAU
rnacentral:lncRNA from 1 species